UGCCCAGCAACUCCUAUCCCUACCUCCUCGUGGUACCGGCCGGGAACUAUGAGCAACCUUAAGGAAGAUCGGGUAACCAACCCCAGUGGGAACUUUGUUUGUAGGCUGACAGGGAAGG
rfam:Aedes albopictus isolate Foshan contig2422, whole genome shotgun sequence.